AGAGAGAGAGAGAGAGAGAGAGAUGGAGAGAUGGGGUUGGAGAGAUGAGGAGAGAGUAAGAGAGAGCGAGACAGCGAGAGCGCGCGGAGAGAGUUGUACAGAUGGACCCGAUGCAGUGACUGACUGGCACGCAGACACACACUUUUUGUUUGCUGCACAUAAUCUGCCCAAUGACGCGUGACAGCCCACGUCCCCUCCCUUUAACUCUUUGCUGGGCUGGGCGCUCCCUCCGGCGCCGCCUGCCUCGCAGCGGUCUCUCUGGCCUGCCCGCGCCCCGCAGGUCCUGAGCACCUUCCCCAAGUGGCAAAGCCUCCCUGAGCGCGGCCCGGCCCGUCUCCUCCUAAAGCUUCCGCCCUCUGGGACUGCGAGGAGGGGGAAAUCCGUUUCGGGGUCGGAAAGGGAAGUACCAAAAGAACUGGAGCGGGCCUUUCUCCGUGUCUCUUGGCACUUGGAGAACCUCUGGCAGAGAGCUGGCCAUCCAGCGCGCCCUCGGAGCCGGUGCGCAGUUCUCGAGUCUGAGUUCAGUAAAGGGGUGGGGGGUGGGGGGUUGCAGAUUAGCCUAGAGGGAUUCCCUGGCCUGUGAGCCACCGCUGAUUUGCGCAGCCAGUAGCCUGAGGGUGAUAAGCCGGCGCCAGCUCUCUCUCUUAGAGCGUUCACCCUACCCAGCCCUUCCGAGCGAGAUUCAGAAAGGAUGCGCUUUGUGCAGCAGCUGAUGCUAAUGACUUGAAGACUUUUAACAGCCUGGAAGUUGACUCCUUCAACAGGGGCCGCAACACAUUUUCGCUGGGGAAUCUCUGGGUUCUUUUUCGCCUUUCAACUCCUAAGGAAAGAAAGACCUUUAAGUGUGUAGAAGGCUCCACUCUCUUAGCCCCACCCACACCACCACUUCUUUGAAGAGGACAAUCUUAGCUUCAGGAUAAAUCGGAUUGUGUAGCCCGUUGAAGUGGACCGAGCAGAACCAUGACUUAAGGAGGAGACAGUCUCGUUUUUAUCCAGUGUUGAAAUAAGCCAGUCUUGGUUAGCUCCCACGUCCCCACUAAGUUUCAAGUUUUUCUGAUCAGACGGACCUGCUGCCUCGGUGUAAACCGGGAUUCCGCAAAAGAAGGGUUGCAAAAUCCCCAUUUAUUAGGGAAGAAGAGGGCAAUUUCCUCUCCAUUUCCAGGUCAUGGUUCAUCCCCCUCUCAUCCUACUUCAAAAGCUCUACACCAGCAAAGCCUCAGCUGUCCAACUGAAAAAUAGAAAGAAAGAAAGAAAGAAGAAAAAGAAAGAGCAACUCAUGGUGAAAGAGAGAAUGCACUGGAAGACAAGAGGAUGGCCAAUGAAACAGUGUGUGGAGGCUUUUUCCUAAGCUUAUUAAUGUCACAUAGGGAGUCUCUGGAUGGUGCCCUGAAGGUUGGGGGAGGUAAAGAAUGGAACUUCACAGAGGGUUGUUGCAUUGCACCUUGGAGAAGUGAAACUUUCUUAGAGAAUAAGAAACUUUCUAAAGGAUAAUUUGGAGACAACAAGGGACAGCCUUGCUGAGCUGGAUAAAAGUUUACAGGGAGGGGAGCAUGGCAAUCUCAGUUUGGGUCUAUUCCUUGCCUAAGUAUUACAGUUGGUUCAUCCAGUGAUACAUAAGUGAAUGUUUCCUUGGGUUGGUCCUGGGAUAGCCAGACUCUCAAAGGAUGGAUAAUUUUGGAGUCUGGGAAAAGGGACCCCAGUGUCCCAAGUUCAGGGACCAUUACUCCUGAUUCACAUUGUUCUUGCUUCAGCUUUUCCUGUUUCUCAAUAAAUGCUAGCAGUUUUUAAUGCUGCUGCUGUACUACAAUGAUUGCCAUUAUGAUUAUAACCUACCUUUCUCAAGUUUAUAACUUUCUCAAUGAGGAAUCGCAAGUUCCACUCACCCUUCUUUUGGGAGUUCAGCUGUGAGCUGGAUCAUCUUUGAAGACUGUGUAGUUCAUUUCCUCUCCUGGAUGGGAGCUGUAGUUAACUGACUUAAUGGCUUUUGAGUAUGACUUCCGGCAGGCCUAGCAAACUGAGGUGAUAUUGAAGACAACUACCACAAAUCUGAUCAAUGUCUCAUUGUCACCUGUGUAAGUGUGACCUGUGAACCACAGAUCCAAUAUCCAGCAUCCUGACCCCUUAGAUUCUCCCAGCUUUUAUGCUACUCUCUAUAAAAUAUCUAGAGAGCUGGCAGGGAAUAUCCUGGUUUUGUCAGAUCUGUAGGUUAGAAUGUUCUUCCCAGACUCAGACACCACAGCUCCUGAAUAAGUCUCAGCCAGAGGAGUAGGGUGGACAGAAGGAAAUGUAAGGGCCACAGUCAGCCACUCAGAGCUUCCUCACCCUCUGAGUCAGGCUUUCAGGGCAACUAGGGACCAAGGGCUAUCCCCAGUUUCAAAUAAGAGAGAGCAUUAGAUUUUAAGAAGACUGUCUCUAGGCCUUAGGAAUGUCACCAAGUUGAGAGGUUCUACAUCAAAUUUCUUUACACAGCCAGGAGAAGGGACAUUAUCCAAACAGUACUUGAGUUCUACCUCUUUUUCUCUCCAUUUUAGGCUGUGUAUAAUUCCUGUGUUAAAAAGACAGGUGCUGAUUGACAUACACUGGACUCAUAAUAGGAAGACUACCUAGCAUCUGAUCCCAGCUAGUUCAUUCUGAGGAGCCGGUCCUCUCCAGCGGCGUGGAUUUGGGGACGCCCACACACUAACUACCCAGCCAGAACGUGGGACGGGCACUGACAGGAUAUCACUCUUGGGGAUGAACACACUCUAGUUUCCAGUGGACAGUGGAAGAGGAAGAGGAUGGAGUGAAGAAAGCUCUUGCACCUUUAGGUAAAAUGCAAGAGGAAAGAGAUAAAUUAAGGAAGAAACUGCUAAGCAAAAAGGAGCUAGCACUUGAUGAUAUCUGAAGUUCUUGGCCUGUCGAGAUUUCAAAGGAUGCUAACAUUAGGAAAUUUGCUACUACGGAAGCAUGUUCUGAAGAUGGCUGGAUAAACCCUUGCUUAAACAGUUAGGGUAUUACAACCCAUGGAUCCACUCGAUCAUCUCAGUAGAAGACAGGAGAGAUGGGGUUAUCCAGAAAAUAUCUAAUGCUGUAGACACCUGUGACAUACAUGAGAGACCCACAUGGUUUUUGAGAAUGUUAUAUCAGCAGGAACACUGCUAACUUGGAUGGAAAGGGACAGAGACAGGACAUAAUGAGAGAAAGCUGUUGGGCUUCCAAAAUUACUCAAGCAGGAAAUUACAACUGCAAACAUAUGCUACCCUUCAGAAAAAGUAAUAAUGAUUCCAAGGGUAGAGCCACUGCAGGUUUACAGAAGCCUAUGGAGUCUCAGUGGGCAGAGCAUUAAGUCACAGUGUAUUAUUCACAAGUAUUAAAAUUUAACAGAAUUUUUCAUUAUGUAUUUCAAACUUACCCGGGACUGGUGACCUCUUUAUUCCUUCCAGUGACUCCUUGACUCCCUUUGGAAAUGGGAAUGUCUACCCUGUCUAUGUCUAAUAUCUAUACCUAUCUCAUCAUUAUAUUUUAAAAUUCAAUAACUUGUUUUCUUGUUUUACAUGUCCACAGAAGAAAAACUUUUGUCCCAGGUUGGAUCAUCUUCAGAGUCUAACCCAUACUUGAUGUAGAUAAUGAGAUUUGGGACUUUUGAGCUGAUGAUAAUUAUAUGAGGUUUGGGCCUUAGAGUUGAUGCUGUAAGGAAUUGAGACUUUGGAAGAGGUUGUUGGGAUAGAGUGAAUGUAUUUUACAUGUGAGACAGAUGUGAAUUUUAGGGGGCAGAGGGUAUACUGCAGUAUGUCUAACAGUGCCACUUUCCAAAAUACAUGUCCACAUUCUAGUCCCUAGAAUCUGAGAAUGUGUUCUUAUUUGGAAAAAGGGUUUUGUAGAAGUAAUUAAGUUAAAGAUUUUAAGGUGAGAUCAUUCUACAUUACCUGAACAGACUCUAAAUCCAAUGACAAGUGUUCUUAUAAGAGACACACAGAAGAGAGACAUGAUACAAGACUGUGAGAAGGGCAUGGGAAGACAGAGGGAGAGACUGGAGUUAUGCAGCCACAAGUUAAAGAAUGCCUGGAGCUGUCAGAAGUUGGAAGAGACCAGGAAGUUUCCUCUCUUAGAGACUUUAGAGAGAGCAACACCUUGAAUUUGGACUUCUAGCCUCCAGAACAGUGAAAGAACUCGUAUCUGUUGUUUUGGUACAGGUUUAUAGUAAUUUGUUAUGGAAGUCCUAGGAAACAAAUAUACCUACCUUGCUAUGGCUUUAGGAUUAGGAGGUCUGUUAAGGGAGGAUCAUGCUAGCAUUACAGAAGAGUCUUGAUGUACAUUUGGUUUCUUUGUGUAGGUGUGGGAGCCUGAGCUUCUUGGUUCUGGAAUGACUAGGACAUGAAAAAUAUAGCCCUAAGUUUACAUAGAUCUCUUCAUAGACCUCAUACAGAGCAAACUCUUAGGAAAAAACUUGAGGUUCUAUGUUUCAUAUAAUUUUGCAUCUUACUGGGCAAUAUACAGUUCUUCUGGAAAGGGUAUUUGGUUACCAAUCUUCCAAUUUGGGGAAGGAUUACUUCUAGAAUAAAGUGUAAUUCCAAUGUAUAGUUAAGACAUAAGAGCAAGAAGACAAUCUGAGCUUGUUUCCUCAUCUGUUACAUGAGAAAGCAGUGAUGCCCAACUUGCAGAAUUUUGUUUGUUUUGUUUUUUACAAUUGUUUAUUUUUAGGAGAAUUAAUAAAAAUGUGCUUUUAAACUUGUAAAGUA